rnacentral:tRNA from 1 species
GAGGCUUAAGUUAAAAUUUUUAAUAUUUCUAUGUCACAGAAAAGAUAGAAGCCUUU